rnacentral:lncRNA from 1 species
CUGACAUGUGGGGCUUGGGACUAGUUGCUCACUGCUCCCCAUCCUCCCUGUUCCACCUUGGAGCUUGGCCCUAACACAGGGGUUGGCAGUGGGACGGAACUGGCUGGCUCUGUCAUCUGGACUCCAUAGCAUCAUUUCACUUCCGGCCGCAUCACCCUCCUUGUGGAAUAUGGCCUUGAGGUUGCACGUUGGUAAUCCCUCCUGCUUAAUGACAGUGUGCCAUGGGUAAAGCUCAUUUCUCCUUUCCUGCAGCAAUAACACAACAAUUACUGCAAUGAUGUCACCACUAUCUCUUAUAGCCAUCAUUUCAUAAAGAUGGAGUCUUGCUUUGUCAUCCAGGCUGGAGUGUAAUGAUGGAAUCUCGGCUCACUGCAACCUCUGCCUCCCAGGUUCAAGCGAUUACCAGGCCUCAGCCUCCUGAGUAGCUGGGGUUACAGUUAAGAGAACUGGAGACACAAAAAAGCUAAGUGAAUUAUGCAAAGCCACCCAGCUAGAAGUGACUUUCUUCAGAGGAAGUUCUUGGAAUUCCUGUGCCACCAUAAGAGUUACUCACCUGCUGGAUUUUUAUGAGAAGAUGUGACUUGGUCCUUGCCUUCCGCCAUGAAUGUGACGCCUCCCAGCCCUGUGGAACUUUUACUCAUCUAUUAGUUGGAGGUAACAGCAUUGAUAUCACAGAAAAGAAUAAUCAAGUUACUUCAGCUCUGGUAUCAAGCAAACUUCUCCCGGUAGGCUUCAGGAAGUUUGCUGAUCCUAUCAGCUCAGGAGCAGCUAAGUUCACAGGAAGGACAAUUCUGAAAGCUGGUGAAGACAUUGCCAUCAGACUCAUCUGCUUGUCAUGAAAUCGCAACAGCCACCCCAGCCUUCGGUAGCCACCACCCUGAUUAGUCAGCAGCCAUCAGCUGAUAUCAAGAAAUUGCCGCAGCCACCCCAGCCUUCAGUAGCCACCACCCUGAUUAGUCAGCAGCCAUCAGCUGAUAUCAAGAGCACAUUAAAUGUUAACACUGCGACUUGCAAGGACCCCCAGCUGGUGGAUCCCUGAGGACAAGGACAGAAGUUCACCAUGCACGGCCACUCUGCUUCAGGAAGAUGGCCAUGUGCAAGCUAGGAAGAAGACAGAACUCACCAGGGACUGAAGUGGCCAGUACUUUGAUCUUGGACUUCAAGCCUCCAGAUCUGUGAGAAAUAAAUUUUUGUUGUUUAAGCAACCCAGUCUGUGGUGUUUUGUUGCAGCAGCCGAAGUGAACUAAGACAAUACCCUAUGAGCUAAUACCAUUUUAGCAGUGAAGAAACUGAGGCUCAGGGAGCUUAGCAACUUUCUCAAAGUUUCUGUGUGCUAAGCUGUUUCCCUGCCCCUUUCUGUCUGAGGGGAAAUUGAAAUAUAAAGCAACAACCUGUUGCAGAAAUAUUUGAGUAAACAAACUUCAGAAAGAGUGUUAGAACCCAAACUAGCUUUCAAGUAGAAAAAUCAAGGUAUUCCUGGGUGCUGUUAGUGUGAAAAUACAGGAAAUGUCAUUGGACCCAUAGGUGGGAAUUAUGGGCAGGUCUCAUAGAACAGGCACCUAGAAGGUAGUCGGUAAUCAAGAAAACAUUUCUUUCCACGAGGCUGCACGAUCCCCCUCAUCUCUGUGUGUCUCUCAUCCUUUAUCGGCCUGCUUCCCUCUUCACCUGAUUCCUCUGCUUGUUCUUUUGGGGUGCAGCCCUACAAGGAACACCAACCUACAUUCUGCUUGUCUCCACUGAUCUGCUCUGUCUUUGAGUAUUUCCAGUUCUAGAAAUUGGUAGAAAGCCAGCUCAUAUGAGUGAGACCGCAUGUACCACAGGCGGCUGGCCAGCUACUUCUCUGGUUCCUUGUCAAAACUGUUGCAUACAUGUAGCUCAAUCUAUGAUCAUCUCUGCACAAACAAACAAACAAACAAACAAACAAAACCCAGCCCUGCACCCUUUCUGUGAAUGGGAAGCAAUGUACAGAACAUAUUAAGCCAAGAGGUAGGUAAGGCAGAAAAUUGAAAGAUGAUAUCUGUUAUUGAUUUGGUAUGAGUUAAAGGUACAUGGUUCUGUUUUAGAUAUUUUAUAAUAAUAAAAAUGAAAAAAGAGAAAGGAAUUGCCCCACAAUUACGUUUUCAAAAUAUGUUUAUUUUUUCCCCUAAUUUUUCUUGAGGUUAUUUAGAUAUUUCUUGACAAAUCUUCAUGGUAACAUAUGUGAAAGCAGACAUGUUUAUUUUCUUUGAUUUGGUGGAAUGAAUUAUCAAAAUUCUGGUUUUUAACAUUGUUAAAACUUCUGAGUAAAAAAUUUCUAACAAAUGAAGUGUUAAUACCAAAAAAAGAGUGUUAGCUAUGAGUGGUAUGUAAAUAAGUUGUCAAAUAUCAUCAAUAAUAAUUCUGAUCACCAUUUUCUUGGGUUUAUUAUAAUAAGACAAAUGUUGCUCCCAAAGAAACUGCUGAUUCUGGGGCAGGGACAAGAGCUCACCAAGAAAUCCAGCUACCAAAAUAUUUUGCCUGGUCACCCGGCCACAGGGGCUGAUGGCCAAAUCACAGACUUGAAACCUAAUGGCUGUGAGUGCACAUCAACGUGUUCAUCUGUCUGGUAUUAUUAUGUAGUUUUUGGAAAGCCGUGAUCUCUACGUCAGAUUGUUUUUUGCAAAAUAAGAAAUAAUACUGGGGUCUUGCCUCAAAAAAAGCAGUGAAGAUCAGCUCAUAGAAAUGUUUGAAAUCUAGGUAGUACUGCAGAUUUGUGGACGCUAGAGAAUGACUGUAAGAAGUGAUCUUAGGCGGGAAAAGCCCACUGUUAGGUCUUGGCUCAUGCUCCGCGUUGCCAAUUCCCAGCCUUGCAAUUUUGGACAGGUUAUUUAAUCUGUAAGUGUGCUUCCAUUUCAUCACAUAUAAAACAGAAAUAUGAAAACCUGCCUUUGAGCAUUUUCAUGGGGAUUAAAUGAGAUAAGUUCUGUCUGGCACAUACCAAUGCACAAAUAAGCUUAGCAAAUGUUUUUGUUUUUUAACUAGAUGAAGAUAAGUCUCUCCAGUGGUAUAUUUUUCUUUAGGAAAAAAAUAUCAGUACAUGCUUUUAACAUAAACCUGAAUCUAACUUCUAUAUAAUAAUGGACAAGAUAAGACUCCAGAAAUAUUUUAGAAUUUUCUUAGAUGAGCUCUCAAUCUGUGUUAAAACAGGUAAAACCUUUUACUAUAGACUGAGAAGGAAGAGAAAGGAAAAAAAAUGGCCUAUUUAAACAAUGAGGAAUAUAUAUAUAUAUAUUUGUCAGUAUCUUAAAGAGGCUUUUCUUAUACAAACAGGAGUAUUUGCUGGUCAGUGCCCAGAUUUUUUUUUCUUUUGAUGUACAUUAAAAAAAUUAAAAGAAAUAUUCUUAGAAAGACAUCUGUGCCUGGGGUGACUCACAUUUGAUCAAUCCCUGUGAACUGAGCUUUUCAGGGGAUGUGCAAUUAUUUGCUCAGUUAGGCUUAAACUUUUUAUUUAUCUAAUCACCCCUCUGUAAUGCUUUGAUCUGAACUUCCAAGGCCUAUUUUUCAACCACUUUAGCUACAUAUUUUAAGUCUUAUAGUCUAAUCAACCCUAGCCCAUAAAACAUGCAAUGUCCUGUUUAAUGCCUCCUAUUAGGAAAUCAGCUGCCACAUGGAUUUUGUAAUCUCCCACUUUGUGACUGGGUGAGCUGUUUGGAAGUGUCAUUAAUGUCAUUAUUCCAGGAGAGCGAGAGAGAGCCAGCAGCCAAGUGCAUCCCCUGUAUCCCAGCUGGCUUCUCCUUGCUAACGUUUGCCGAGUGACUCAGAGGUGAAUCAUCGGUUUCUGCAGGUGUAAGCUUGGGAGUCCUGGAAGUCUUCCACAUCCCAGUGGGGGCAAAUGUUUACCUCAUUAAUUCAUGGGAUUACUCAGUAGUUCCAGCCAACUUAAUUUGACUGUAUAAUAGUUAAAAAUAUGUGUGUGUAUGUGUGUGUGUGUGUGUGCAUAUUUACUUAUAGCCCAGGAGUGUGCUACAGCUUAGAAAUUUAAAGGUAAAACCUGUCAUUGAAUAAUUAGAAAAUGUUGUGUUUAUUUGAAACAUUUAGAAAAAAAAAUUCUAUGUAUGUCAUUUUACUGUAACAUAUACACUUGGUAAUGAUAUUUCUCACUUUUCUCUCUGUGCUUGGAUAUAUGUGAGGGACUGAGGUCCAUAACAGUUGGUGAAUUAGCCCACUCUAAUUCCUUUCCCAGCCUUGGGGCUUAUUUAGUUGAAUGUUGUCAGAAACCUUAGCCUUCAGAGACUUUUUUCUUUUCAAAGGACACUCAAUUUUUGGUUGUAAAAACAAAAAAGUAAAUAUAAAUAUAUUUCUUCACUUUAUUCAUCUCUGAACAAAUCUUGCUUUUACAUCUUAGUAGUGCCUAAUGAAGAUAACAACCAUCAACUAAAUUAGUAAGAUUUAAGAAUAUAAAAAUAUAGUUACAGCGCCAAUUUGCUGAAAAUUAAUGGUCAUUAAUCAAGACCUAUGAUGCAAUAGCUAAUAAUUGAUUUCCUCCUAUGUUCUAGCACAAUGUAAAAUGCUUUACAAAUACUAAUUUAUUUAAUUAUUAGAACACCCUACAACAUUGGUACUCUUAUUGUCUGCAUUUUACAGAUGAGAAACUCCAGGCAGAGAGAGGUUAGCCAGCUUGCCUAAGGUCACACACAGAUAAUACAUGAUGAAGCCGGCAUUUAAAUCCAGACAGUCUGACCUUAGAACCUGAAUUAUAAAACACUAUGUUAUUAUGGUCUAAUGACAAAUUUUUAAAAAACACAGAAGAAUCUAUGCAUGUAAAUGAAUCCAGUCCAUCUUAAAGUAGCCACCUAUGUAUGCUCUAUACUUAUUUCAAAUUUUGCUGUGGCUUAACACUUCCAGAACUCUCUCUUUUCUUUCAUUUCUAAAAAAAUUCUUGUGGAAACUAUGCCUUGUUGGUCUAAAUAUCACCAGUAAAAGCUUCACUCUUUGAAGUUGAAUUUGAUUUUGGAAAUAGUUGAAAGUGAUUCAAAACUCAGGUUGGUGAAGAGAGGAGGAAUCAAGUUUGGUAAGAUCACUAUAAGUUAAACUGUCUCUAAAUAUAAUUUUCAAGCAGGGAUUCUAGAAUUCCAAAAAUAUUUUGUGUAAUGGUAGCAUCAUUAAAAUAAAUGGAAAGCCUGCAAAGGUCAUUCUGAAGAGCGUUAGAAAGACAGAGAACAGUAGCAUAGAAGUUUCUGCUACAGUGAUUCAUCCUCUAAACAUAUGAAACCAUCCUAUUAGGUCACAAUUCAAUAGAUGCUAUUUGACUACCUGACCUGUUAGAAGCCCCUUUCAAUUCUUCUGUAUCCAAAUUUAUAUAGGGGACAUUAUCGGUCAAGACCCUGGUGAGAGAGUGACACAAAAUGGGUAAUUGAGGAGAGUUAAAUAAAGAAACAGUUUACAGGGUUAUAAGCAGGAUUUGUGGAAACCAAUAACAGAAAGUGCAAAUCCCUGGAUAGGCAGCAUGGAGGCACCAUCAUGCCCCUCAGCCUGAAGGGGCGCAAGGAGAGGAGCAGGGGCAAGAACCAGGGAGGGCUGCUGCUGUGAACAGGGCUGCAUGCAAGGGCCUGCAUUGGGGGAGGCAGCCAGCCCAUGUCAACCAAACGUAGGGGGGAGUCAGCUCAGAGCAAAUACCCCAUCUCACUCUCCUCCUGCCCUCUGAACUCCUGCUACUGCCCCACAGACCAAACCCAACCAGAACACACAGCAAAGAGCCAGCCUGUUGUCACAUGCCACAGAGAUUACCUUUUGGGAGCACACAGUGGGGUCAAGCCUGCCUUCUCUCUGGUUCUCACCUUUCCUAGAGGAGAGGAACUGACGCAUGGUAAAGACAUUUCAUAUACAAAUUUCAGUUACCCAACUGGCCUAGGAAAGGGAGGAGAGGAAGAAUCUGACAUUUAUUGACAGUUUUUACAUUUAGUGAGUACUUACUAUGUACCCAAUGUGCCAGGUGUUUUACUUAUGUUAAAAAUGAAGAUGCAUUAUGUGAAGAGAAUUUCACUUUACUUCUGUGGUUUCCCUCCCCUCACAAUUACAUUCUAAUUAUGAGAAAACAUCAGAUAAACCUUAUCUCUAUUGAGGGGCAUUCAAUAAAAUAUCUGAGCAGUAUUCCUCAAAACUGUUAAGGUCUUCAAAAAUAAAGAAUUCCGAGAAACUAUCACAACCAAUGGGAGCCUCAGGAGACAUGACCAACAAAUAUAAUAUGGUAUCCCUGAUGGGAUCCUGGAAAAGAAAACAGACAUUCGGUAAAAACUAUGGAAAUCUGGGCCGGGCGUGGUGGCUUACACCUGUAAUCCCAGCACUUUGGGGGGCCGAGGCAGGUGGAUCACCUGAGGUUUGGGAGUUCGAGGCCAGCCUGACCAACAUGGAGAAACCCCGUCUCUACUAAAAAUACAAAAUUAGCCUGGCGUGGUGGUGCAUGCCUGUAAUCCCAGCUACUCGGGAGGCUGGAGCAGAAGAAUCACUUGAACCGGGGAGGUGGGGGUUGUGGUGAGCCGAGAUCACACCAUUGCACUCUAGCCUGGGCAACAAGAGCGAACUCCAUCUCAAAAAGAAAAACAAAAAAACAAAACAAAACAAAAACUAUGGAAAUCUGAGUAAAGUGUGGGCUUUAGUUAAUAACAAUGUAUCAGUAUUGGUUGAUUAAUUGUGACAACUGUAUGUACUAAUGUAAGAUGUUAAUAAUGGUGUGGGGUGUAUGGAAACUCUCUUAUCUUUGCAAUAUUUCUGUAAAUCUAG